rnacentral:piRNA from 1 species
CGGACGAUGGCUUCUGUCACUGCAAAGGGG